rnacentral:rRNA from 1 species
UACGAAGGGGGCUAGCGUUGCUCGGAAUCACUGGGCGUAAAGGGUGCGUAGGCGGGUCUUUAAGUCAGGGGUGAAAUCCUGGAGCUCAACUCCAGAACUGCCUUUGAUACUGAAGAUCUUGAGUUCGGGAGAGGUGAGUGGAACUGCGAGUGUAGAGGUGAAAUUCGUAGAUAUUCGCAAGAACACCUAUGGCGAAGGCAGCUCUCUGGGACGGUACUGACGCUGAGACGCGAAAGCGUGGGGAGCGAACAGG